GAAAGUUUGAAGUCUCUGAGAGUUAAUUUUCAUAUCAUGGCGGAAUGACUGGAAAGCAACAGCUGGAUAAAAGGGAAGACAAAUGUU